rnacentral:tRNA from 1 species
UAAAAUUUAGUUUUAUAAAAAUAUCUAAUUGUCAAUUGGAAGAUAGCAUUUAAUUACAUUAAUAAUAUGUUAAUUUUGU